UACGGGGGUGGCAAGCGUUGUUCGGAAUUACUGGGCGUAAAGGGUUCGUAGGUGGCCAACUAAGUCAGACGUGAAAUCCCUCAGCUUAACUGGGGAACUGCGUCUGAGACUGGAUGGCUUGAGUGCAGGAGAGGAACGCGGAAUUCCAGGUGUAGCGGUGAAAUGCGUAGAUAUCUGGAGGAACACCGGUGGCGAAGGCGGCGUUCUGGACUGCUACUGACACUGAGGAACGAAAGCCAGGGGAGCAAACGGG
rnacentral:rRNA from 1 species